rnacentral:rRNA from 1 species
AUUGAACGCUGGCGGCAUGCCUUACACAUGCAAGUCGAACGGCAGCACGGGUUCUUGCACCUGGUGGCGAGUGGCGAACGGGUGAGUAAUACAUCGGAACGUACCUUAUCGUGGGGGAUAACGCAGCGAAAGCUGUGCUAAUACCGCAUACGCCCUGAGGGGGAAAGCGGGGGAUCGCAAGAUCUCGCGCGAUUAGAGCGGCCGAUGCCUGAUUAGCUAGUUGGUGGGGUAAAAGCCCACCAAGGCGACGAUCAGUAGCUGGUCUGAGAGGACGAUCAGCCACACUGGGACUGAGACACGGCCCAGACUCCUACGGGAGGCAGCAGUGGGGAAUUUUGGACAAUGGGGGCAACCCUGAUCCAGCAAUGCCGCGUGAGUGAAGAAGGCCUUCGGGUUGUAAAGCUCUUUUGUCAGGGAAGAAACACCGGCUCUAACACAGUCCGGGAAUGACGGUACCUGAAGAAUAAGCACCGGCUAACUACGUGCCAGCCGCCGCCGUAA